UAUGUUCCAUUUUUAUGAUGUCCCUUAAGGUGGCUGCAUGAGUCAAGAGAAGUGCAAGACACAACUGUGUUCCCCUUUCAAUGCCCCUGAAACCAGCUUCUCUUUCUAUGACUCUCCACAGAUCUGGGUUAUCCUAAAAUCCACAGUAUCUGUAGGCUUACGGGGGUUUAUAAGGGUACAUAUGACUAAGGUUUUAAACAGUUACAUUUUGGAUUUACUAGAGAGUCCCAGAUUGCUAUCAUGGUGUAUCUGUAUCAGCAUGACAGACAUUAACAACAAAUCUAGCACCAACAGUAAGUGUCUAGAAUCUACAGGUUGCAGAUCCUCAAUUUGAAAAAAGACGAUAAGCGCUGAAAAACAAGCAGAAACAUGUUUGGUGGGAGGAAACUCAGGAGUUUCAACAUUACAUUGUGUAAAGGUACUUUUCGUUUUACUUUUCCAGAUGAAAUAAAAGCACAAGAAGGAAAGAAGCAAGUUUAGAACUGCAACCUUCAUCAUGGAGAGCAGCAUGUUAACCUUUGUGCUUCUGUGUGUGGUGUGGUUACAGGUUGAAGCCAUUAAUGUAGACAUUCCUCAAUCAAUGUAUGAGUUUGCCAGAGAUACCAACAUCACAAUACCCUGUACAUUUACAACAACAGUCCAACCCCCAAAAUCAGGUGUCAUCACCUGGUCCAGGAGGCCCACGGAUUCCACGGAUCCCAAUGUUCCGUUUG